CGUCAUCGCAGGUCCUGCAGCCCCAGGAGGUGAGAUCUGCAGGUUCUCUAGUUUUCUUUUAAAAGACAAUGGUCCUUUCCAUCAAUGAGCCACCAAGGAUGGAGAAGGACAGAAACCUCAUGGCUGCGAGGAUAUUAGACCUCACCCUGGAGAUCAUCUCCUUGAUAACUGGAGAGGAUUACACAGUAGUGAAGAAGUCGUCUGGUGAGUGUGUGACACCCCGUGUGUCAGGAGGAUGGAGCAGGACCCAGAGCCCCAUCACC